GAUCCUCAUGUGCACAGGAAGAGGUUCUAGUCCUCUGUAACAUAUCCCAAACAAAGCCAGCUGGACUCAGGCUUCUUUCUUAGGGCAAUAGAAGCAAGAGCUGCUAGAAGAAACAGGCCAGCAUGGAGUAUCUGUUGGGACCUUUGUUAUCUUCCAGGACUUCUCAGCCUUGAAUGUUCUAAUGUAUACUUUGACUCUCAAAGAGGAGUGAAGGUGUAACAUUUUCCCAAUUUAUUUGACCACAGAAUCCUGACUUUGAGGAACACUUAGUACCAUCUUAAUGAACACAGAGUGUUCCAUAAAACAUGGGAACCCACCAGAAACAGCCCUCAGGCCUGCCCAACUCUGAGACCUUUCACUGAUGGCCAGAGAAAGUGAGGACCUUGGGAAACAAAUCACACAGUCUGAUAUCUCCCCACGUACCCAGUGGAGCCCCUGACUUACCAGAAAUGGCAUCAGGCUCAGGUUUGCUCCCUGGCAGAUCCUCCACAGAUGUGCUGCUGCCCUCAGCACCAACACCGCAUCCCCGAGGCCCCAUGGCACUGGAGCGCCGCCGCUCGUGGAUCU
rnacentral:antisense_RNA from 1 species